UGCAAUUAAUGGCCCAGGACUGAAGGA
rnacentral:piRNA from 1 species